CGGUGGGGCGAAAACGAAUAAGAUACACAUGUCAAAUUAGUUUGAGUUGAUAGGCACCAUAAGCAAAACCAGUAUCCGCAUACAUGUGAGUGUUCACUUUGUGCAAGGUGUGGGCUAACAUGCAGAUCGGAACCCUCAACUUUCUGAAUUACAUUCAGAGAGUGAACAUACAUGUAGACUGGAGUCUUUACCUGAUACGGAUCUAACUCGAGUCCCGGCAUUAGAAGAAAAUUACUAUGCCUAUGAAAUAUCUAAUUCUACCAUUUCUUCCGGAUCAUCAGCUCCUAAAUGGCCAAGUGCAUCAGCUUGAUAUUUCCUUGUUCACAAAUUACUUCAUAAAAAAUGCACAUACAUAAGAAUUUGAUCUUUGAAUUGUCUCUGUAAGGUAUCACUGCUUCUUAAUGAAGAUAGCCAGCAAGAUAAUGGGGGGAAUAAACAGAUCAUUUCAAAAGGAGAAGCAACCUACCAAGGGCUAACAAUGCAACACUCUGAAUGAGCAAAUUCAUGUUAAAACUUAAAUCCUACUACAUUACAAUCUACCUGGACCAAGAAUACAAAUUAGUCUAGCUAAAGUCUUUUUAAACCUUAUUAAUGUUUCCCCUGAUUGAGCGUACUCCUUGUGAAAAAAACUGCAUAAGAAAUUAUUCACUGGAAAUAUUAGUUUUAGUACUGUAUAUUAUGUACAGAUGGACAUCUACACACAAACAGGACAUGAGUAAAUCCUAACUACACCACCAGUGGUGCAUAUUAAUAAACUGGAUAUCAAGAAAGCUAAAAGGAUUAUCAAGAACACCGUAUAACAAUCAGAGGAAUUCCAAAUUAAGCUAUUACUUAUUUAAGAAGGGACUAAGCUGGAAAGAGGAAAGAAAAUACAGCAAUGAAAAUUCAAGCUUAUCUUCAACACUGAUGAAAAAAAAAUACAACUAGACUAUCUUGCAUACUGUCAAGCUAACAGUAUAUGAGUUCGCACAAUCCUCACCUCUAACAUUGAAGGAAGGUGAAGCAUGAUGUAUGAGGGCUCAUCAAAGUAGGAUUCAUCCUCUUCAUGUCUACUCAGCAGUGACCUUGGCUUGGAAUACUUCCUCAUUGAUAAAAUUGUUGAUGCCCAUAAGCUCUAAUGUGGUUUCCAAAAAGAAAUACCCGCUCCAGACACUACUGUCAGCAAUGAACCAUGCGUUUAGUCGAUGCGAGAGUAAAUCCCUAAAAUGUCGAGCAUUGUUGGUCCAAAGGUUAUAUCACCGAUAAUCAGGCACACUUGAAGAGAAGCCCACUUAAUAUUUAGAGGGAUAAUAUGAACAGAAAUCAAACAAAGCAUUGUAUUUGUUCCCUGAUCAUGAUGCUUCAUAAAGCAUUGGGAACCCAACCAAACAUGUGCCUGCUCUUGAAACCAAGAAUGCACAAAAGAUAUUCGGAAUUAAGCACCUUUUUUUCUAUAACAUGGCAUAUAGUGCUAAAGAACGUUGAUUUGCAUUUGGUUAAGUAUGAAAUACAACACAAUUUUCGCAUCGGUUCAAGAAUGUAUAUACUUCUAAAAUACAUGAAUAAAAGCAAUUUCCUUCUAUAACAAGGGUCCUUUGGUUUGAAGUAGAGAAGCAUAUGAAUUUUAUGCUAGUGCCUGUGAGGAUAGGCGAUGGGCUUGCAGGCGCAAGGCAAGGAUCCAAAUACCUUGGAGUAUUGUGCUGAUAGCUGGGUCGCCGAGAUAGAUGCCCUGCUCUGGCCACAUACUACUAUCCCUGCCAGGAUCUGGGCGACCACAGGCCACAGUAAGCUAGAUAGCAAGAGAGGUGGCAGGCUGACUGGACGAAAAUACACAUUUACAUUGCAGUUGAUAAUCACUGAAAGCCGCAAUGCUGAUAUAGUUUUUUCGGUUUUUGUGAUUUGUGUGAGUGCACUAUUUGCUAAUCUUUCUUUCUGUUUAUCAGUUCACCACAAUGUUGAUAUAGUUUUUUUUUGUUCUAAUUUACACAAAAUUUAGCUGCUUGAAUAGGUGAAGAAUUCUUGUAAAAAAAGGCAACAUACUUGCAUUCCAAAUUAAGAAAAACCAAGAAAUGAACAGUUGCUCAAGCUAAGCUCCGAAUCGGAACUCCAUGGAGUUUUCUUCAAGCAGAAGUGGCUAUUCUUAUGCGGUUUUUAGCCCUUCCUAUGAAUCCCUAAUAAAUGUUUGAAAACCAUUCAAUGGAAACAACCAGAAGGUACAAACACUGACCGUACCAAAGAAAAACUGGGAUCAGGUGCACCUCGGCAAGAAGUUUUUUAUUCUCUGUUUUAUACAUAGAAAUCAAAGACAAAAGUACUAUUCUUGGAACAAAACUAAUGAAAAACCUGGCUGCGAAAUCAAAUAUUUACAUCCCAUUAAUUAUGCUAUCUAAUCUAAGAAGGAUAAUCUAAUCUAAAUAUAUGUUUGUAAUUAAUUACAUAGUUAUAAAAAAACAUGACACCAACAGAACAGACCCAUAUGAUUCUUAAAGAAUAACCCAGAAGACACCAACGCAUGCCAGACAAAGGGAUGAACACAUAAGAAUAAUAGAUAAAUAAACACAUGACAAGCAAGAGUAAAUAGAGCAAGAUAUGGGUUAACUUGGGAACCAAGCAGCAAGAGCAGCGUCCAGCAGGCUCCAGAGAUGCUCGGAGACCCAAAGUCAUCAACAAACUGGAAGAAGAAAUCAAAUAGAAGGUUGAAAAAAAUAGUGUAUAUAUAGCAGAUGUUGAUCUAGUAGUAGUUGCUAUGUUGAUAUUCUUCUGUUUACUCUCGCUUAGCUGAAUACUGGUCCAGGGACUACUUAACAAAAAUCUUGUAAGGGGAUAUACUACUUACAUGCCACCCAUCCAUUACACAUAAGCCUAAUUGAAAAGCCAAAUAUAACCUAGAC
rnacentral:lncRNA from 1 species